CACUUUAGUACAUAAUUUUCAUGAAUAUUUAAUAAUAAAACGUCUAAUUAUAAUAAGCACUUGACACCACAUACAAGAGGUGCUUCUACGAAGCCCUUGUUUGAACGAGAGAUUCUAGAUUCAUUUCACAAUAAGAAACUCCUUAUUUGAUAUCACAUUUAUUUUUGCAACAAAGAAUUUUCAUGGCAUCUAGCGACAAGUAUAUUUAUAAUAAUUGUAUAUUUAUCACGAUAUUACAAGGUAGAAAAAUUAUUCUUCUAGUUUAUAGUGACACGUAAAUUUUUUAAAUAUCAAUUGUUUAAUAAAAGUGCGCAAGGGUACCUAAGACAAGACUACUAAAUAUGCUUCUUCCAUGGACUACUAGGAUUCUCAUAUCAAUAUUCUAUAUAGAAGAGAGGUACAUUUUGCCAAUGCAUCUCUUUGUCCUUUGUUUUUCAAUACAUAUUAAUUAAUAAGAGAACAUCGAAGGUUCAGGUAGAUAUCAUCGGUUAAAACGUCUCUAGAAAUCAAACUAUGAGAUUAAACUAUGUAACAAUUUAACCUCUGGUUAUUGCCCUCAUGGCCAUCUCUUAGUUUCCUUUUUUGGAUCAUCCCAAAAGAAAAAGAGGUUACGUUGGAUAAUCUCUUCUCCGUUGGGUCAGAUCCAUAUGGAUGGAACUUGGUGCCUUUAUUAUAUUAUCCUAGCUGUAUAUUUCCAAACCUGAAAUAUAAGAAUCACUUUGUUAAGUAAAACAUAUCUACUUAAAAACAAAUACAGCUAAAUAAAGAAUGAAAAAUGCAAAAAUUUUGUAGAGAUAUUUACAUGUGUUUGGAUCAAUACAAAUCAGCUAGAAUAGAUAAUUGGCCCGCAUAUACAAAAACUCCAAAUCCUGAGAACAAAAUAAGAAGAUCUUAAUUUGUAGAUUGUAAUACAAAAAGAACGAAAUGACGAAAAUAAAUAUAUAUUUUUUUGUUUUUCUUGGGGGAAAGGAUAAGAUAAGAAUAUAUACCACCAUGGUGAUUCAUUGAUUCAAUUGAAUUAAAAGAACAAAAGGAAAAAGAAAACCACGCUAUCAUGAGAAUGAUUUUCUUUUUCUUGAUGCGAGUAAUGAUCAACUUUCUUCUUGCAUUAUUGCUUAAGUGUUUUGUUUGUGGGGAGGAGUG
rnacentral:lncRNA from 1 species